GCAUGGCCGCAUGGCUUUUACUUUUGAAGCUUUGACAAGAUAAAAAUGAGUUAAAUUUGAGUUUGUUCGUCUCGAAAAGGGAGAUGAUUCAGUGGUCAGGAAAAACAAAAUAGUUCAAUAUUGUUUUCAUAAGUUUAAUCGGGAAAAAACUGAAACAACUAAGAAACGAUUGAUUGAUAGCAUGGUUGUUAGAAGACAGAACAAUUUUCGUAGAAUAUUUCCCUUCUGGAGAAUCUUUUUUCUUUGUUUAAGUGUCAUGUCGGUUUUUGAUCGAAGCUCGCUACACCUAAAGCCGAAACGUUGAUACAACAAUUUACUACAGAGAACAUUGACUAUAUUUCCUCCUUUGUUUGCCGAUGGCAAGAAUUUUUGCUCCCACAUCCUUCAACGUGUUAAUGCAGGAUGAUACUUCAAUUCCAAACUCUCACAGGAUGCAAUACACCAAACAGCUGGGCACAUCCAAAGAAUGUGUCAUGAGCUUUAAAUUCAAGAUGGCAGCAUAUAGACCAGAAACAGCUAAUAGGAGAAAAUGUUGGUUAUUUUUACAAAGUUGCUUCCUCUGAAGUGUAAGCAGAGAAAUCUUCCCAAAGUUUUGAUGGAACACUGAUUUCGAGGCAGUCCUAUAUCGGCACAGUUGCAAUGGCUACUCCAUCUUACAAAUGUUGAGGCAAAUUCCGGAAGUUAGCCCGUAGACGUAAACACAUGCUUCAAUUGCAACAAAUCAAAUACCAUAGCUUACAUUUCAGUUAAAUCUUAUUUUGUUUUGGUAACUUCUGAUCUGAACAGAAAUUUAUAAAACAUUGGAUUUAAGCUAUUAUUUCUUCUCUUAAAGCCCAAAACAACCUGAAGGUUGAACAACCUUAGAUGCCUAUAGCUCUCACUAGUAAUAUGAAAACAGUUGGAACAAAUUAUCAAACCCAGAUUGAUGCACUUCUUAAAGAUAAUUCAUCUGAUACUGCCGUUUCAAACUAAAGUCGGAAUGGCAACCUGCUACUUCUGAAAUCAUUCAGGAGCCUUUUGUGAGAAGAAAAUGUAGGCAGUAUAUUUUUUGAGGUGGAGAAGAUCUUGGGAGAUUUGGGAUCCUAUAAAUUUUGAGUUCCAAUCAUAAGCUUAUUUAUCCAUUUUUAUGUCAGCUUUCUUUGAUACUUGGUGAGUUUGCCCUGUCAAGUAUCUUUGUUCGAGAGCACACAAAAAACUAUUUUCAGCAUAAUUCCCUUCUUCAUAAUAGCAAUCAAUAGCUUUAUUCAACAGCUGACUCUAAAAGUACCUUUUUCAUUGAUAAUUUCUACAUUAAGUAUGGGUGUUGUUGAAAUUCUACAAAUAAGAAUCAAUGUUAAUGUGGGUAGAGGAGGAUGCCUUUAUCCUUCUAAAAAUUUUCUUUGCAUUUCUGCUGAAGACACUCAAACUUCACCAAUCUCAAAAAGAGCAAAGAAAAUGUCUUCAACUUGUUUUGCAUAAAACACUUAAAUUCAGUCAUGACAUAUGUUGAAAAAAUAUUCAUGAAGACAAAAGCUCUGAAAAAACUUCUGAUAAUUCUGGUGCAAAAAUACUACAAUACACAAUACGACUAUCUGCUGCGUAAUUCGCUCAACAGUUGACUAUGGAUGCCUACUUCAUUGCUUCACCAAAAAAACAAAACAAAAAAAAAAAACACCAUUCUAAGUCCUGUAUUCAAUACGUAAUCAAGAAGUGCAUAUCAAUACAGUCUCCUUUCAAACCGUACCAAUCAACAGUCAUUUUGUUGUGAACCUUCGCUCCACUAAGUUGACUGAUAGUUUUCCUGAAUUUUUAUUUCAAAUUUAGAGCUGAAACCAUUCAUCCUUUGCAUUCAAAAAUUUUGUCUCCUCAUGAUGUUUUUUGAUGCCAGUCAUUGUAACCUUGUACUUAGUGGUGCAACUGCAACAGGUGCUGAUUGGCAGCUCUUAGUUUGCAACCAAA